rfam:Equus caballus chromosome 2, whole genome shotgun sequence.
GCUGAUGCUGGCAGUGAUGCCGAUGGUGCGGGCUGGAAAUGGGGUGCUACGUCAUCGUUGUCAUCGUCAUCAUCAUCAUC